rnacentral:lncRNA from 1 species
CCAAUUCCUCCCUCCUAGAGUUAUCGUGACGGCACCUAGUCUCUACAAUUAGGUAUGCCUAACACUUUGCAGAAAUGAAAUAAAAGCUUGAACAUAAACCACUAACAAUGGCAAAUAUCUAAUAAACAACUGAAUGUCACUCGGCAUGUACGAAUAUCACCUUUGAAAUGCCCCAAACCAUUCCCAUAACCCGGAAUACCACAAGUCACAAACUACUAAGAAAUCUUAACUGUUAUAUAUAUCUUUUAUACAGAAAGAGGAAAACAUGAAUAGAGGAGGAUAGAGGGGGACUCUGAGGAUCUGCGGGUAGAUGUACCUUGAAGUCUCGAUAAGCAGCAUCGACUGCAACUAAUCAUGAGGCCGGUACAAUUAAUCUGGAUUUGCACAUGAAAAACAUGUGCAGGAAAGGGCACGAGUACUCCACAAUGGUACCCAGUAAGUACAUAGCCUAACCUCAGUCGAGUAGUGACAAGGUCAGUACAGGGCCCUAAUGGUAUAUAUACAAUAAAAUUUAAUAGAAAGAAAUACCGCAGUAAGAAUAAAUACUAAAAUAUAACCACGAUAUAAGCAUAGAAGAACAACAUCUCAGAAACAUAAGGGUAACAACAGGGGAUCUCCCAGGAUACUGUCCCGUAGUCCCAAACGUAAAUGUUUAGGGGGAUCUCCCGGAAUACUGUUCCAUAGUCCCAAAGUAAAUAUGCAGUGGGGAUCUCCCAGAAUAUCGUUCUGUAGUCCCAAAGUAAAUAUGCAGUACAUGGGGAUCUCUAUGAAUACCGUUCUGUAGUCUCAAAGUAAAUAUGCAGCUCAACCAGUAGAAAUAACAGUUACAGCAAGAAAACCUACAGUUUAGUCUAAGUUCAAGGCAAAGAAAACAGGUAAUUUCACUAAACAUGCUGCACAAAAUUCAAAUAGGCAGUUAAAACACGUAGGCAUGCUUUUCUAACUGAAACAGGAUAGUUACAUAUGCUAGUGUAGUUCAAAUAAGGAGAAACAAGUUAUGACUUAGUGAAAAACAGGGUUUUACAACAAAUAGCUCGUGUACGUACUCGUCACCUCACGUACACGACGCUCACAUAUCAAAAUUGUUCCAAAUCCUAAGGGGAGUUCCCCCACACAAGGUUAGGUAAGCCACUUACCUCGAACCAAGCUCAAAUCAAUCCGUCACAAUGCUCUUUCCAUGAAUAUCCAGCUCCGGAUGGCCCAAAUCUAGCCAAAUCAAUUACAUAACAUAAAUAUAGCUACAAAAAACUAAUCUAACUAAUGAAAUCGAAGAUAAGGCAAGAAAUUAGAAAAAAUACCCAAAAAGCCUCCCUGGGCCCACAUAUCAAAAUCGGGUAAAAGUUAUAAAUUAUGAAAAUCCAAUCACUCACGAGUUCAUUCGUACCAAAAUUAUUCAAAUCCAACGUUGAAAUCCCAAUCAAAACUCGAAAUCUUAGUUGAAGAACUUCUUUCCAUUCUUUCCAAUUUUCCACACCAAAUCCAAAAUUAAAUGAUAAAAUUAAUGAUAGACUAGUGGGAUAUAACAUAAACCAAGUUAAGAAUCAUUACUCAAUUGAUAUCUCUGAAAAUCCCUUAAAAUUUCGUCCAAAUCCGAUCUCCCAAACUCAAGUUUUGAUAAAAAUGGCUAACCCUCGUUUUUGAAAUGUUUAUACUGUCUGCCCAGAUUUCUUCUUCGCGAACGCGGCCUCACUCUCGCGUUCACGUAGGGAAAAACUUUACUGGUCAAAAAUCCUCUUACAUGAACACGAGGGUCCUCUCACGAAAGCGUACUUUCUGAUUCCUGAAGCUUCGCGAACGCGAUCUCUGCUACGUGAAUGCAUAGAACAUUCCAUUGGGGUCCUAGCUGAUCCAUUUCUUAUACACGGACAUGAUGUCCUUCACGCGUUCGCGAUACAAUGAUGGCCAAACCUUCGCGAAUGCGAAUAGAAAUUUCCCCUCCUGCCCCAGCUCUACUUCGUGAAUGCGAGCUCCUUUCCACAAAUGCGAAGAACAAACUUCUACAACAAAAACCAGAAAAAAACCGCUAUCUCUGCAAAGUCACAAAUGACCCGUUAACCACCCGAAACUCACACAAGGCCCCCGGAACCUCAACCAAAUAUACCAACCAAUCCUAAAACACCAUACGAACUUAGUCGAGCCCUCAAAACACAUUUGUAGCAAAACUCUAACACGAUGACUCAUAGACUCGGCUGCACUCCGAAUGAGGUGGAGUCUCACCGAUCCUUCCCUGAAUGUCAAUCUCGUUUACUAUGAAGGCUCGUCAAACCGAUCAUCUAUAACUGCAGGCAUGAAUGCAACGUCCCCCAACAAAAGGACGUCAAUACGAAUAAUGUAUUGAGUAUGUAAGGCACAUAAAUAAGUACAUAAAAGACAUGGAAGAAAUAUAGAGUAAAUGAUUCAACCUGUAAGUCUGGAUAACUCCGUAAAUCAUAAAAUAAUUAUAGUGUCAUGCAUAUGUGUAUGAAUGGCAUGUCAUGCAUAUGUACAUGUUUCAUAACAUCAUCAGGACUCUGAGGGCAUCCCAUCAUAUCAUCUCUACCACUGUGGGAAAAAUCAUCAAUGUAUACCAGUUGAUCAGGUGGUGGUGCGUAUAUAACGCCGUAACCUUUUCUCAUAUCUCAUAUACAUAUAUAUACAUAUAUACGCGUAUAUAACGCCGUGUGAGUCAUAUUUCAGCUAUUGUGGGCAACAUCAUCAUCGUAUACCAGCUGAUUAGGUGGUGGUGCGUAUAUAACGUCGUAAUCUUUCCCCUUAUUCCAUAUCCCAUAUACAUAUGUAUAUAUAUAUAUAUAUAUAUACAUACGCGUAUAUAACACCAUCUGUUCAUGGGUCAAUGUGCAUGCAUAAAUGCAUGAAAUGCAUAUGAAAUACGUUAAUAAAAUCUCUUGGUACGUCAUAAGACCAUUAUGCAUCUAAUUAAUAUCAUGAAAUAAACUUUAUCAACUUACAUAUUUUCUGAGACCCAUGAACAAAUGAUAGAAUAAUAAGACAUAUGGGAGUUAAGAACAUAGACAUUUCUAAUACUUCUACGAAUAGAGUCAUUUAUGGAAGUAAUGCAUUUAUUCGUUUCAUUUGUAUCGUACGGAUCAUGCCAAAAAAAGAAGGAAGGGAUAGCCUUAAUAUACCUGAGCGGAUUCUCGAGCACUCAAAAAGUAUCAGAAAAGGUGGCUAUAGACUUUAUAUUAUAUGUGAUUUUGUGCCGUGCACAUGUUUUGUAAAUACAAUCUUUGAACAUCUCUGAAAUGCUAGUCGUAUGAACUUGGCAUUGGCAGAAUAGAGCCUUUUUAUUGUAUUAUCAAGCUUAGCACUAAAACCAACUUUUGCCCCAUAGUAAACACUUCUUUAAGAUCCCAAAUUAUUGCCUUCUCAAAUCUCCAUUUAUGAACAACUAUUACUACUUUUGCUCUACUAUUGAAUCUAGUGUUGAAACACCUCACUAAUCCAAGAGUACUUCGUUCUCACUCCCUACCUUCUUCUAUCCUAAAGAAGAAUUGAAUUAGUUGAUGAAUAGGUUUUAAA